CGGUGCGAGGUGACCUGCGGAGGAUCAUUAGUGAAUCUUCAAGUCGGCUCGUCGGAUUGUGCUGGUGGAGACACAAGUGCACAUCUACGAGUCGCAAAAACCCACACACCUGUGCAUCUAUGACUCUGAGUGCCGCUUUGCAUGGCUCUUGAUUGGGCCUGGCGCUCGAGUACUUUCACACACUCUCGAAUGUAACGGAAUGUCUUUGUUGUGCUUAACGUACAAACUGAAACAACUUUCAACAACGGAUCUCUUGGCUCUCGCAUCGAUGAAGAACGCAGCGAAAUGCGAUAAGUAAUGUGAAUUGCAGAAUUCAGUGAAUCAUCGAAUCUUUGAACGCACCUUGCACCCUUUGGUAUUCCGAAGGGUACGCCCGUUUGAGUGUCAUUGUAAUCUCACUAUGAUCGACUUUUUGUCUUUCUGUAUGUGGACUUGGAUGUUUGCCGUGAAUAACAAACGGCUCGUCUGAAAUGCCUGAGUGUACCCCGCUUUGCGGCGUAUUCGGUGUGAUAAAUCUUCACCGGAGUUGAUCCUUACAGGUCGCGUCUGUAAUGAGUGUGGCUCUAUGCUUCGAACCGUCUUCUUACGAGACAAUCUCUGACAAUUUGACCUCAAAUCGGGUGGGACUACCCGCUGAACUUAAGCAUAUCAAUAAGCGGAGGAAAAGAAACUAACAAGGAUUCCCCUAGUAACGGCGAGUGAAGAGGGAAAAGCUCAAUUUUGAAUCUGGUGUCUUUGACUCCCGAGUUGUAAUCUAGAGCAGUGUUUUCCGUGCCGGACUCGAGCACAAGUUUCCUGGGAGCAGGGGCGUCAUAGAGGGUGAGAACUCCCGUAUUUGGCAUGGGGACUGCACG
rnacentral:rRNA from 1 species